UACGUAGGGGGCAAGCGUUGUCCGGAUUUACUGGGCGUAAAGCGCGCGUAGGUGGAAGGUCAAGUCCGGCUUGAAAGCCCCCGGCUCAACCGGGGAGAGUGGCUGGAAACUGGCUUUCUUGAGGGCGAGAGAGGAGGGUGGAAUUCCUGGUGUAGCGGUGAAAUGCGUAGAGAUCAGGAGGAACACCCGAGGCGAAGGCGGCCCUCUGGCUCGACCCUGACGCUGAGGCGCGAAAGCGUGGGGAGCAAACAGG
rnacentral:rRNA from 1 species